UUUAGUCGUGUCCGACUCUUCGUGACCCCAUGGACCAGAGCACGCCAGGCAUUCCUGUCUUCCACUGCCUCCCGCAGCUUGGUCAAACUCAUGCUGGUAGCUUCGAGAAUACUGUCCAACCAUCUCGUCCUCUGUCGUUCCCUUCUCCUUGUGCCCUCCAUCUUUCCCAACAUCAGGGUCUUUUCCAGGGAGUCUUCUCUUCUCAUGAGGUGGCCAAAUUCUUGGAGCCUCAGCUUCAGGAUCUGGCCUUCCAGUGAGCACUCAGGGCUGAUUUCCUUCAGAAUGGAGAGGUUUGAUCUUCUUGCAGUCCAUGGGACUUUCAGGAGUCUCCUCCAGCACCAGAAUUCAAAAGCAUCAAUUCUUCGGCGAUCAGCCUUCUUGAUGGUCCAGCUCUCACUUCCAUACAUCACUACUAGGAAAACCAUAGCUUUAACUAUAGGGACCUUUCUCGGCAAGGUGAUGUCUCUGCCUUUUAAGAUGCUGUCUAGGUGCUGGGUAUCGCCCAGCCAAUCUGCGGCCAGGGUGGGUGUGGCCACGAGCCGUUUAAUUUUGGCGUGGCGCGCUCACUCUUCCUUGCCUUUUUGGAUCAGCACCGAACUUUGCCUGCGGUUUUCUUUCGGUCGUUUUUUUCCUGCUCUAGAAGCCUUUUGUUUUGAACAUCGUUGCCUUCCCCUGUAGAGCAUAGCAGCCCGGCUUCAGCGACUGCUUCCAGCAGGGCUGGCUGCCUGCAAUCAGCUGUGAAGCCGGCGACUUACAGCUGGGGAGCAGCGCGUUUUUCCCUUGGGCUGCUGAAGCAAUGUCCACCGCCCUUCUGCUCUGCCUUUGGCUUCCCUCUCGCUAAUUGCCAGGAGGCAUUGCUUCAGAGGUCUCCCUUCACCACAAGCCUCAGAUUGGGGAGGUAGCGAAGUUUGUGGACAACACUGAUGGGCUGUUAACCAGAAGGUUGGUGGUUCGAGCCCACCUAGGAUUCCCACAUUGCAGCCGGUUGGACUAGAUGACCCCUGAGAUGAUCAAACGUGCAGAUUGUGAAGGGCUCCACAAGAAUCUCUCCAAACUGGGUGAUGUUAAAAUGGCAAAUGUGUUUCAAUGUAACUUAAGUGUGAAGUGAGGAUGCACAUGGAGCAA